rnacentral:rRNA from 1 species
UCCCUUCGGGGAUGAGUACAGCGGCGGACGGGUGAGUAACACGUAAGAAUCUGCCCUAUAGUGAGGAAUACCCUCGAGAAAUUGAGGUUAAUACUGCAUAAGUCCCUGCGGGGAGAAAGGCGUCUUUUAUGUCGCCGCUAUAGGAUGAGCUUGCGGACUAUCAGCUUGUUGGUGAGGUAAAAGCUCACCAAGGCUAUGACGGUUAACCGGCCUGAGAGGGUGUACGGUCACAUAGGCACUGAGACACGGGCCUGACUCCUACGGGAGGCAGCAGUGGGGAAUAUUGCGCAAUGGGCGAAAGCCUGACGCAGCGACGCCGCGUGGAGGGUGAAGGUCUUUGGAUUGUAAACUCCUGUCAGAUGGAAAGAAAGGUUUGUGUUUAAUAGACGCAAAAUAUGACGGUACCAUCAGAGGAAGCACCGGCUAACUUCGUGCCAGCAGCCGCGGUAAUACGAAGGGUGCAAGCGUUAUUCGGAAUCACUGGGCGUAAAGGGUGUGUAGACGGUACAUUAAGUUCGUCGUUAAAGGCUCCGGCCUAACUGGAGUAUUGCGAUGAAAACUGGUGAGCUAGAGGGUGAGAGAGAGAAGUGGAAUUCCCGGA